rnacentral:rRNA from 1 species
UACGAAGGGGGCUAGCGUUGCUCGGAAUCACUGGGCGUAAAGCGCACGUAGGCGGACUCUUAAGUCAGAGGUGAAAUCCUGGAGCUCAACUCCAGAACUGCCUUUGAUACUGGGAGUCUCGAGUUCGGGAGAGGUGAGUGGAACUGCGAGUGUAGAGGUGAAAUUCGUAGAUAUUCGCAAGAACACCAGUGGCGAAGGCGGCUCACUGGCCCGAUACUGACGCUGAGGUGCGAAAGCGUGGGGAGC